UUAUAAAACUUGUGGAUAACACCAAACUGGCAGGGUUGCAUGCACUUUGGAGGACAGGAUUAGAUUUCAAAAUGAGCUUGACAAAUUGAUGAAUUGGUCUGAAAUCAGCCAGAUGAAAUUUAAUAAAGAAAAGUGGAAAGUACUACUCUUAGGAAGCAAAAAUCAAAUUCACAACUACAGAAUGGGAAAUAACUGGCUAGGCAGCUGUACUUUUGAAAAAAACAUGGGGGUUAUAGUGGAUCACAAAGUAAAUAUCAAUCAAUAAUAUGAAGUGGUUGCUAAAAAGGCUAAUAUCAUUAAGCGGGUAUUGUUAUAGGGUAUCUACCUCACACCGGUCUGGAAGGGGUUAACAUGGGCCUGAGAGAAAGCUGAGUUUAAUUGAUAACGAGGCCCAGCUGGGGAGUGGCUGGGUGGUGAUUAUAAAGCCAGGAGGCUUGUAGCAGAAGGGAGGUUUUCCUUAUGAUACUAAAGUGAGUGAAAGGCUAUUUAAAAAAAAAAGGGGGGGGGGCUAAAAAAAUUAGUGAAGAAAAUGGCAGUCAUACACUUGUGUGAUGAAGUUGCUGUGCCAAAAACCAGACAAAUACAAAGCAAGGGAGUUGCUGGUAGAGAGUCUGCAGUCAAUCUCUGGGGGACAAAAGAGGUUGAUCCCUGUCCCUGGUAUGGACCCUGAAUUUAUUUGUAUUUGAACCCGCAGCUCCCUUCAUGAGAGCCCUCCAUACCCAUGCCAAACCGCUGCACGGACAGUUGAUGCGGGGGAUUUACCUGUCUGUUACUGUAUUACUUACCCAUUCAGCCAAGUGUAUCCGCGUCACGGCACCAAGAUGUUGGCGGGGGUCCAGCUCCCGCCUCCCUCUUAGUUCCCAGACACAGUUUGUUGGAAAAUAACAGUCCAGAGUCCAGUCUUCAGGCAAUUUGAUGGGUUCAUUGGGGCUAAACAAGCCAGCAUAUUUCGAAGCCCUUCACACCAGUUGGGCUAUGUCUAUAUGCUGAUAGUUUUCCUUUUCCCCUUCCCCAACUAUUAUUCUGUACGCCGAUAGAUUCCCCUUCUUCUCCUGACCCCUAGCUCCAAACGCCGAUGGAGCUCGGGGGGGAGGGGCGGAGAAAUUGGGGGGGCAGCCUUGUGCUUUCACUUACAUUUUUGCUUGCUUAUUUAGCCUGUUUAAACUAAAAGCAAAGCCAGAAGCAAAAUUGUUUAGUUUUUACCCUAUUUAUUUGACAUUUUUCUAACAUGUACUAGAAUUCUUUAAGGAGAUCAA